AGCAGCCGCGGUAAUUCCAGCUCCAAUAGCGUAUAUUAAAGUUGUUGCAGUUAAAAGCUCGUAGUUGAAUUUCGGAAUCAAUACGUCGGUCGUGCUUCGGUACGUACUGGCGUAAUUGAUUUCUCCCUUCUGACGAACCAUGAUGUCAUUAACUUGGUGUCAUGGGAAAUCAGGACUGUUACUUUGAAAAAAUUAGAGUGUUUAAAGCAGGCUCACGCUUGAAUACAUUAGCAUGGAAUAAUGAAAUAGGACGUUCGAUCCUAUUUUGUUGGUUUUUAGGAUCAACGUAAUGAUUAAUAGGGAUAGUUGGGGGCAUUAGUAUUCAAUUGUCAGAGGUGAAAUUCUUGGAUUUAUUGAAGACUAACUACUGCGAAAGCAUUUUGCCAAGGAUGUUUUCAUUAAUCAAGAACGAAAGUUAGGGGAUCGAAGACGAUCAGAUACCGUCGUAGUCUUAACCAUAAACUAUGCCGACUAGGGAUCGGAUGAUGUUAAUUUUUUUAAUGACUCAUUCGG
rnacentral:misc_RNA from 1 species